CUCCUAGAUGUCCUGGGCUGCACGCGGCAUACAAUGACGAAGUAAACGAGUUUGGUUUGUUUGAGCUCCUUGUCUGAAAAUUAUUGAGGAAUCUGUUCAACCUUCGUCGUAUUGGGGAUAGUUGCUUGCAAUUAUUUGCCUUGAACCAGGAAUGCAUUGUAAGGUUGAUUCAGCAUGUCGACUUGAAUACGUCCCUGCCGUUUGUACACACCGCCCGUCGUUGCAAUCGAUCGGUUCACUGCUAGAGACCUUCUGGAGAUGUUGGCGACUUCGGUUGCUCUAUGUUGUAGUCGGUCAGUAGCAGUGAACUAGAGAAUGCAAAAGUCGUAACA
rnacentral:rRNA from 1 species